AGUCACCCCAAAAUCUGAAAACUUCCAGCAUCUAAAUAAUUUCUGGUCCCAUGGGUUUCAGGCUGGCCUGGACCUUUCAGUCCUCCUGACUUGGGUUCUCAAGUGCUGUGACUCAGACAUGCCUUAUCACACCAGGUGUUUGUUCUUGUGUCUACCCCGCACUGGCUCCUGCUGCCAGAGUAACACUAAGCACGUCUGAUCUGAAGGACAUUGGUACACUCCUGGGAAAUUGUGUUGUCAUAAUAAAUUAUAAGUAGAAGACAUUGUA